rnacentral:rRNA from 1 species
UACAGAGGUCUCAAGCGUUGUUCGGAUUCAUUGGGCGUAAAGGGUGUGUAGGUGGCGCGCUAAGUCGGGUGUGAAAUUUCGGAGCUUAACUCCGAAACUGCAUUUGAUACUGGCGUGCUUGAGAACUGGAGAGGAGACUGGAAUUCAUGGUGUAGCAGUGAAAUGCGUAGAGAUCAUGAGGAAGACCAGUGGCGAAGGCGGCUCUCUGGAACGGUACUGACGCUGAGACGCGAAAGCGUGGGGAGCGAACAGG